rnacentral:rRNA from 1 species
UAAAGAAAUUGCUUAAGUGUUGGAGGGUUUCCGCCCUUCAGUGCUGCAGCUAACGCAUUAAGCACUCCGCCUGGGGAGUACGACCGCAAGGUUGAAACUCAAAGGAAUUGACGGGGGCCCGCACAAGCGGUGGAGCAUGUGGUUUAAUUCGAAGCUACGCGAAGAACCUUACCAGGUCUUGACAUCUUCUGCCAAUCUUAGAGAUAAGACGUUCCCUUCGGGGACAGAAUGACAGGUGGUGCAUGGUUGUCGUCAGCUCGUGUCGUGAGAUGUUGGGUUAAGUCCCGCAACGAGCGCAACCCUUAUUAUCAGUUGCCAGCAUUCAGUUGGGCACUCUGGUGAGACUGCCGGUGACAAACCGGAGGAAGGUGGGGAUGACGUCAAAUCAUCAUGCCCCUUAUGACCUGGGCUACACACGUGCUACAAUGGACGGUACAACGAGUCGCGAAGUCGUGAGGCUAAGCUAAUCUCUUAAAGCCGUUCUCAGUUCGGAUUGUAGGCUGCAACUCGCCUACAUGAAGUUGGAAUCGCUAGUAAUCGCGGAUCAGCAUGCCGCGGUGAAUACGUUCCCGGGCCUUGUACACACCGCCCGUCACACCAUGAGAGUUUGUAACACCCAAAGCCGGUGAGAUAACCUUCGGGAGUCAGCCGUCUAAGGUGGGACAGAUGAUUAGGGUGAAGUCGUACAAAGGGUAGCCAGAACCCAAAUCCUGUUUUGAAAGACUUAUCAUUUAG